AUGUAUUAUGUCCAGCUUUCAUAUUGUGUUAUAUCUAAUAAUAAAAUAUUUCAUUUUUACAAUAAGUGUGAACACAUUUGUUUUAGAUCAAAUACCUGCAUCCCCUAUCCCAUCUACUGCUCCGCCGGACAAAUUAACGAUUCCACGAGGAUUCUUCAAAAGUUUAAAAACGCAUGUAAAGAGGGGCCAACUUACACAAGUGCGACUUGCGGUUGCAUGCAUUUUCGUCACUACGUAAGACAUCAUGCUGAUGUGGUACAAGAACUGUCCAACAUCACAAUUCCUGAAAAGUCCGACAGAUCGUAUAUCUCUCAAAAAACAGCCCCGGAAAAUAUGUACUCGAAAUUAAACGUUCUAUGAUUCGUCUUCUUCAUUCCGUGAAAAUAGUGCGUUCAAUCAACCUAACCGAAAAAAGAGGAAACAUGAGCUUAAUUUUCGAAGAAUCCCCUCUGUAUAAGUUAGUCUCUGUGUAAGUAGUCGGUGAGUAUCUACGUAGUUUAUUUUUCAUCUUUUAUUUUAUCCUUCUGCAUUCAUUCAAUAUGUCCAAUUCAAAAAUGAAAAUUUUAAAAUGGCUCAAUUUUUCAAAGUUAUUUUGAAAUAUAAUAUGUAUCUAUAGCACUGCGGUAUCUUCUACUUUUUAAAAUUGUCCCUUUGUGUUCCUUUGCCGUUUCUAAGACAAAAUUUCUAUUCGAGUUUUGAUUUAUUUGAAAAUAUUAUUUGCUUGUCGCUAUUUUUCCUAAGCCUGGACUGACUUUAAAAUCUGAAUCAAUAUUCGGUAUCAAUGUUCUUCACACUGUUAUAUAUCUGGGAGUGAAAUUCGGUGUAUAUUUCAUCUUAGAGGCUCUCUAGCGAACAAAUAACCCGCGUGGUGCGAAUGCGAGGUUAAAUUAGCUUAAUUCAUAAGAGUAUACGACACUUUGCAAAAAGUGGUAAAAUCCACUCCAUUAAUCCUAUCCCUCGGGAUCUUUGGAUCUAGUGUCGACUCCAGAGUGAAAAACAGUAAGCAGUAUUUAGCGGCUCGUGAGAAAUUUUCCUAAGAGAAGUUACUCAAAGGUCAUCAAAUUUGAUGGAAUAGGAGUUUUGUCCAAAUAGUAAAGGGUCCUUUGCCAGCAUUCAAAUGAUAACCCUAAACCACAUACUGAAUGUAAUGAAUUCCUUUCCUUUGUAUAUUUUUUCAGAGCAAGAUGCUCCUGGCACAUUUCCUGUUUUGCCUGCUAAGAAGCAAGAAUUUGUAUCCUUGAUUUUCUCCCAUUUAUUCCGAUCUGAAUGACUAGACGGGGGGGGGGGGGGUGGUGCGCCGCUCCGCUCAAAACUUCUAAUAUGAAAGGGCGCAGCCUUAGAUCGGCAGGGGCGCGCGAAGAUAUCUAGUUACACCACUGUAAGGCAAGUGGACCAGUGAAUGCCACCUCCAUGAUUACUUGUAAAUAUUAAGCCAUAGGUUCAGGAUCAGGUGAAGGAAAAAUUAAUUUUAAAAUCACCAACAGAUGGCAGCUCAGAACAACAACAGCUGAGAGCGUCAACAAAGAAGAGGAAAGCAGGAGGUGUUUACUUACUUAAGUUUUUGGUAAGAAACCGCAAGUUCUUUAUCAAUUAUUUAUCUUAUUUCUAUUGUUCCAUAGGUUAUGAAAACUUUUAAAGACAUAACUGAUGUAAUUAUGUAACUAAUUUCAUCGUAUUCAUAGUUAAAAAUUGAUUUUAAGAUUGUCCAGGGGUGGCAGUAACCAGUUCACUCAUUUUCUGGGAUCGCCAGUGAGUGCCAUAGGUGGCAUCUACCAGUGCAGGUUUUUGGGAUGACUUAGUGAAUGCCACUCUGCUUUAUAACUUUUUCUUAGAUCAUCAAUGAAAAUGUUCCAUAUUCUUUUACAUUUUUGACUUCAAAAAUACCAAAUAGUGUACUAUAUAGGAUUACUAAAUCAUCAGUGUUGAUGUAACUCUAAGGAACACAAAUUUUAAACUCUAUUCCUUGUGUAGAGAAUUGAACUCGUUGUUAACUUUGAGAAAGUUCGUUUAAUUUUCUCCUUUUUGCUUUUCAGCCAUGGCCAGGGCCAGAAAGAAUCGAGCAAGCAAAGCUAAGAAAAGCGCCACCAAGAAGAAUAGAGAGCCAAAAUUUUCCUAUACAGUUGAUGCUAUAAGAGAUUGUGAGGCCAAUAAUCUCGUUGCUAUGCGAAAUUCCUGGCCUCGACUUCGUUGAUGAGUCAUCUCGAAAUCAAUAUCCCAGGCGCCCCAUAGUCGCCGAGAUUCCCCAUGCUUUGACGAAUUAAUGUCCUGCGCCGUCAAGCGCCCGAGAUGUCUUGACCAGCUCCCGACGCAUUCUAUUCACAUUCUUAAUUUAUCUCUCUUACUUAAAGUAUCUCUGCUCCGCAGCUCAGGUUUGUGCCCUCAAGCACUAUGUCACAAUUAGUGACUCCGAUUGAGUCUCGUUAAGGCUCCGGUUACAAUUUAGUAACUGCGAACGAGUUUCGUUACAACUCAAACCUUCGACGGUGUUACGCACAACACAACCAGUCCGAGUACUUUACACUCACUUCGUUUUACACGCGUUAAGUGUUAAAUCGGUGGUAACACGUAAGUUACAUUCGACCGCGUACGUUACACGCAAACCCGACCGCGUACGUUACACGCAACCCGACCGCAUACGUUACAUGCAAAACUUCAGCAUCAAUCGUUAUAUGGGGCGCUAAGACGUUACACCUCACUUUAAAAUGAUUCUUAUACUUUUGGGAACGCUCUGCUUUCUCAACUCAACGCUAGCAAUGUCCUUUCUUCAUCCGUCCUUGACAGGUUUUGAUUGCACCGAAAAUCCAAGCAGUGUGGUUGAAAUUUCCUUAAAUGAGAAUGGACUUAGCUGUUCCUACAGCCCCGGCAGAUGUGCUUCCAACAAAACCAAUAACUCCUAAAAAUAUUAUCCUUUCCGCAGUCCUCUACGAAAUUGGCAGAUUAAAAUCACUUGAAUCACCUACCCCAGUUUUCUUUUACGCCUGGGGACCCCAAAACGAAAUUGCAAUUAUAUUUUUCCUUGUACCCAGAAUUAAAAUCGGAAUCAGAUCAUACUAUUGAGCUUAAUUUUCAACCAAAACUAAGCACAAUCAGAAUUUCAAGAUCUCAAGGCCCACCAAUAUUUUCUAUUGAACUAAUGGUCACAGAAGCUGAAGAACUUACUUUCAGCAUCCAUAAAUAAUUUUAAAAAUACCUGAUAUGUCCUCUUCUGAAGUUACCAAAUGCUAUUUUAGUCAGUGCAGUGAUACACAAAUCUUAAACUUUUUGAAUCAUAUUCUCCACUACAAACGUAUCCUUCCCCUUUCAAAUCAAUUUUGCACCUAUUUUUCAAUAAUUGCUUCCGCUGAAAAUUGCUCUUACAUGCGAAGCAAAAUUAUGAACUUUGUAGCUCGACCCUUUCCUAUCAAGAAAGUGUAGAAUCGCUUCUAAUUUACGAUGGUAAACUCUAUUUAAUGGUCAACUCUACCAAAUUUAGCCUAGUCAUUGAUUUCAUUAUUACAAAAAAUCACAAUAAUAUUUCUCUUUUGCACCAUUCAACAGACUCUAAUUUAACUGAUCCAACACUCCAUUCUUAAGACUUAUCUUCCUUGCAAUGAUUUCUAUGGAAUUAUCCUUUACCACUUGGAUCUGAUUCUCGAAAGAAUAAAAAUUGGAUUUCUUCAACCCUCUCUUAUUGUUUCCAUCUCCCUACCCUUCGAAAAUCAAUUGUUUUACUCAGAAAUUAUCACAAGGUGUUGUAACAUAACCCAAUGGAAUGAAGUUUUAACUCUUGAUACUACUGAAAAUUGGAUUUCCCUCACAGCCUCAGGACUUUUGGUUUUUCAAUUAACUCUAAGAAACUCUCCCAAUCUCCAUAUUACUUUCUUCACCGUCCCCAAACACUUGCAUAAUUCUUUCUUGCUUAAUUUG
rnacentral:lncRNA from 1 species